UCCCUGGAGGACUAGUGGUUAGGCCCUGGCGCUCUCACUGCUACGGCCUGGGUUGGAUUCCCGGCCAGGGAA
rnacentral:tRNA from 1 species